AUACGGUAAUUAACAAGAAUAAAAGAGUAACAAUGACACCAAGAUUUUUACGUGGAAAACCCUUCUGAAUAAGGGAAAAAACCACGGCCCUGAGAGGACCAACUGAUAUCAUUAUAGUAAGGAAUUUUUACACUUUGUAGGUCCGAGAAAAAUACUCCAAAGACCACUGCAACACUCAAAAGAAAUAACCCUCUUUUGAUAUUCCACCUCACUACAAUAUCGCUCACUCUCUCCGAGUAAAAUACUCCAAAGACCACUACAACACUCAAAAGAAAUAACCCUCUUUUGAUAUUCCACCUCACUACAAUAUCGCUCAGUCUCUAUUUUCUUCACAGACUAUUUUCUUAUACCCUGUCUGUGAAACCUUACUCUUUUUGUCUCUUUCUGUUGGUGUAAAAAAUGAGAGCCGAAGCUCUCAUUUUAUAGGCAGAAUACAUCCUACCUUUGUUGACAUUUUAUCUCUGCAGCAUGCCAAAGUUGACAGACUGCAGCACACCAAAGAAAGGAAAAAAAACAUGGGUUGCUGGUGCCUAUAUUGAAAAUGAAGAAGCAAGGAAGAAGUUUUCUUCCUUAAUAAGUGGGCUGGACCC
rnacentral:lncRNA from 1 species